UACGUAGGCAGCAAGCGUUGUUCGGAGUUACUGGGCGUAAAGGGUGCGCAGGCGGCCGAUUAAGUUUGUCGUGAAAUCUCCCGGCUCAACCGGGAGGGUGCGGCGGAUACUGAUGGGCUGGAGUGCGGGAGAGGAGAGUGGAAUUCCUGGAGUAGCGGUGAAAUGCGUAGAUAUCAGGAGGAACACCGGCGGUGUAGACGGCUCUCUGGACCGUAACUGACGCUGAGGCACGAAAGCGUGGGGAGCAAACAGG
rnacentral:rRNA from 1 species